rnacentral:misc_RNA from 1 species
CACUUGUUAGAAUCAAUAUUAAUAAUUUCAGAAUUAAUAUUUCAGUAUAAAAUUUAUAUUUUUGAUCGUAUUGAAAUAUAAAUAAGUUUUAUACAAAUAAGAUAAUUUCUAUUCAAUAUUUGUAAAAAUUAGAAUAUCAUGUAAUUGUCACUGAAGAGAGAGAAAAAAAUUAUUUCGAAAUAGUUAUACUUUAUAACUUACAACGAAAUACCUUUCUGCUCAUCUCGAAAUAAAAUGAUCCGUUUAGUCCGUGGAACAAUGUUACGCUGAAACACGCUUGCGCCGAGUACUAUACUGCGCCGAUCCAAAUUGCAAGAUGUAUAUUUUCUUUUAAUGCUAAUCUUUUCCGUAAGACUCUAUUUUUAAUGUAGCGCGACAUUAGCGAAAGUAGUGAAAUUACAGCACCUUUCGCUUCUCACCGCAUAACUAUAGAAAAUUGCUAAAUUAUAUGAUAUCUAGUAGGAAUUUCACAGAAAAAAAGAAAAUUCAGGAUAUUUAGUAAUAAGCCAAGUUCUAUUCGAAGCAUUUGCGACAUUUUCAUUCGUAAACAUACUCCAUCCAUCGUGCAAAAUGGUUUUUCUUGGCGAGCGCUAUUACAAUAUUUAUCGGAUAAUGUUGACGAUCAUCGGCUUGUGGCCGUAUCAGUCGUCGAUCAUUGUGCAAGUACAGACAGCGUUCUUCUUCGGUGCAUAUAGUACCUUUCUCUUUUCUCAGUUAACAAUAUUUUUAACGACAACUUGCAGCUUGGAAGUUAUUAUUAAAGAGUUGUCAUAUAUUUUUAUCACUAUGCUGUAUAUUAUCUGCUAUAACUCUUUUUAUUUUAAUGCUAAAGAAAUAAAGCAAUUAUUGGAACAAAUCAAAUUAGACUGGAAUACAAUCGAAGAUAAAGAUGAAAUUAAGAUAUUGGAGAAGUACGCCGUUGAAAAUCGUCUUCUUUCAAUGAUUUUGAUUAUUCUUUUUAGCUUUUCUAUAUUUUUUCUUCUUAUUGUCGAACUGAUACCGGUUAUUCUGGACACUGUUGUACCGAUAAAUGAAUCUCGACAACGCAAAUUACAAAUCGACUUUGAAUUUUUUAUCGACGAAGAAAAAUAUUUUUAUGUUUAUUUAAUACAUGAAAUCACAGUGGUAUUGAUCGGUGUUUUUACGAUGCUUGCAACGGGAACAUUACCAAUUGCAUUCUUUAGACACUGUUGUGCAAUUUGUAAAAUCUCCAGUAAUUUAAUUGAGAAUACUGUGACUAAGCAAACUCUUCAAGUUUCUUCUCACCGGAAAAUAUAUAUAAUGUAUCAAAAAAUUAGUCGUGCUGUUCAUCUCCACAGAAAAUCUAUUCAGUUAACCAAAUUCUUUAUGAAAACUAUGAACAAAUGGUAUUUUGUUUUGCUGAUGAUCUGCGCAGCAUCUUUAAGUUGCAAUCUUCUUCGACUACUAAAUGCGGCAACAGUGUUAAAUGAAUUUUCCGAAUUAAUAAUUUGUUUCGGUACAGUAAUGGGCCAUUUUCUAACUAUGUUCAUACCUAAUUUCAUUGGACAAUCAUUUAUCGAUCACCAUGGAGAGAUGUUUUAUGCUGCAAUGUUUAUAUUAUAAUGUUAGAUGUAAUAUACGAGGCGAGCCAUUUCUCCAUGUUUGAAAGAGGAAUAAAGUCACGGGGGGCUAUGGUGAAUAUGGUGUGUACAAAAUCAACCCGACACGCAAUUUAUGCAAUUUUGCGAUUGCAAUUGAAGAAGAGUGAGCUGGUGCAUGAUGAUGGAAAAGCACUUUUUUUUCUUUGCCAAAUAAGGACGUUUGGUUUUAAUAACAUCGUUCAAUUGAUCCAGUAAUACUCUCCGUUGAUGGUUUUUGCUUUUUUCCAGAUAAUCGAUGAGUUCAAUACCAUGAAAAUCUCAAAAAGUCGCCAUCCUUUCCGGCUGAUGGAACUAUUUUCGCCUUCUUUGGAACAUUUCCACCUGCUUCUACCUAUUGUUUUGAUUGUUGUUCCAUUUCUGGUGUGUAAUGGUGAAUCCGUUUCAUCAACAGUGAAAAAGCACUGAAAAACAUUAGUUGGAUUGCAUUUAAACAUGUCUAAACACUCCUUAGAAAUGUUCAUUCGAAUGCAUUUUUGAUCGACUGUUAGCAAACGCGACACUGAUCUCGCUAAAAGCUUUUUCAUGUACAAAUGCUUAUGUAAGAUGUUGUGAACGUGAUCAUUUGAGAUGUUUGCAAUGUCAGCAAGCUCACAGACUUUCACUCGUCGAUCAUUCAACACGGCAUUAUAUUUUUUCAAUGAUUUCAUCAAUCGUAGCGAUUUUUGGGCGACCUAAACAUUCAUCAUCAUUUAUGAAUGUACGAUCACGUUUAAAUUCAGCAGCCCAUUUCUUAACAAUUGAAAAUUGAUGGUGAAGACUCUCUCAAAGAAAUGAAUCAAGUUUGGUUUUUAUUUCUGUUGGUGUUAAACGAAGUAUUUUAUCAUUGCACAAUUCAACUUUAUCCAUUUUGAAAAAAAUCAAAAAUUGUUUGCUUUACACGAUCGAAAUAAAGAAAUUAAUGAACGCAUCUGAAAUUCUGACAGUAGCUCUCUGCAGGAUCAAAAUUGUCAAAAAUUAUAGCACUUUGAUACUUCUGUCGUCAUCUCCAUGUUAGGCCGAGAGCUUCUCGAACUACCCUCGUAUUUGUCAUCAUAAUGUAGUAGUUGUAAAUAUUUAAAUUAUUUCUUGCAGAUUUUGAAGUUUGUAUAUUUGUGUAUUCAUCACAUACAGUUGGAAUGAAUAAAAUAGGAAUUUCAUAUAAUAUUUGAACACAACGUUUGAACAAUGUUACUAAAAGUAACUUUCACAAAUUCUAUUAAUUUGUCAUUUUUGUAAAUGUUUAGGUAUAAUACAAUGUGGUAUUUAGCACCGUUACCGAUACAAAAAUUGCUGCUAUUUGUAAUGCAAAAUUCUAUGAAGGCUCACGCACUACUCCUUGGUGGUAUUUACGUGUCAUGUCUAGAAGGAUUUUCUACGCUUGUAACCACAUCAAUAUCGUACUUUACAGUAAUGUACAGUAUGACGACGAAACAAUAAGAAAAUGUUUAUUCCUUGUAGAAAUUUUAACGUAGAUAAGUUUGAAUAAAUUAAAACUGGAAGAAAUAAUUGAAAAUUCUUAGGUAUGUGAUUGUUUUCUUAAACCCACAAUUGCUUAAAUAAAACAAUUAUUUAAGUAUAAAUGUAAAUAUCUUUACAAUAUUUUACAUACAUCUUAUAAAUAUAUUAUAUAAUAUAUAUCUAAAUUAAAUAUUUCUUAUUAAUGAUUGCAUAAAAUUUUGUUAGAGAGCAAGAGUCAGAGACCAACAUUAAUAUAGUGAAAGUAAAAUUUUAUUUUUAGCGUUUGUGGCACAUCUAGAAAAGAGACUAUAUAGCCGAAAGUGUACUGAUGUAAUUUACUUUAAAGCACGGAAUCAAUAAAUAAAUAUGAUUAAAAA